CGUGACCAGGGCGACCUUGGCGUCGCCGCCGGCCGCCUCCAGGGCGUCCCGGCAGCGGGCCGGUUCGGCGCCGGUCGCCUCGG
rnacentral:tRNA from 1 species